GACGAACGCUGGCGGCGUGCUUAACACAUGCAAGUCGAACGAAGAGCGACGGAAGCUUGCUUCUAUCAAUCUUAGUGGCGAACGGGUGAGUAACGCGUAAUCAACCUGCCCUUCAGAGGGGGACAACAGUUGGAAACGACUGCUAAUACCGCAUACGAUCUAAUCUCGGCAUCGAGGAUGGAUGAAAGGUGGCCUCUACAUGUAAGCUAUCACUGAAGGAGGGGAUUGCGUCUGAUUAGCUAGUUGGAGGGGUAACGGCCCACCAAGGCGAUGAUCAGUAGCCGGUCUGAGAGGAUGAACGGCCACAUUGGGACUGAGACACGGCCCAGACUCCUACGGGAGGCAGCAGUGGGGAAUCUUCCGCAAUGGACGAAAGUCUGACGGAGCAGCGCCGCGUGAGUGAUGACGGCCUUCGGGUUGUAAAGCUCUGUUAAUCGGGACGAAAGGCCUUCUUGCGAAUAGUGAGAAGGAUUGACGGUACCGGAAUAGAAAGCCACGGCUAACUACGUG
rnacentral:rRNA from 1 species